rnacentral:rRNA from 1 species
GAAAGGGUUUUACUGGUUUUGGAUGGGCUCACGGCCUAUCAGCUUGUUGGUGGGGUAAUGGCCUACCAAGGCGACGACGGGUAGCCGGCCUGAGAGGGUGACCGGCCACACUGGGACUGAGACACGGCCCAGACUCCUACGGGAGGCAGCAGUGGGGAAUAUUGCACAAUGGGCGCAAGCCUGAUGCAGCGACGCCGCGUGAGGGAUGACGGCCUUCGGGUUGUAAACCUCUUUCAGCAGGGAAGAAGCCACAAGUGACGGUACCUGCAGCUGGGUACGGGCAGACUAGAGUGCAGUAGGGGAGACUGGAAUUCCUGGUGUAGCGGUGAAAUGCGCAGAUAUCAGGAGGAACACCGAUGGCGAAGGCAGGUCUCUGGGCUGUUACUGACGCUGAGGAGCGAAAGCAUGGGGAGCGAACAGGAUUAGAUACCCUGGUAGUCCAUGCCGUAAACGUUGGGCACUAGGUGUGGGGGACAUUCCACGUUCUCCGCGCCGUAGCUAACGCAUUAAGUGCCCCGCCUGGGGAGUACGGCCGCAAGGCUAAAACUCAAAGGAAUUGACGGGGGCCCGCACAAGCGGCGGAGCAUGCGGAUUAAUUCGAUGCAACGCGAAGAACCUUACCAAGGCUUGACAUCCACCGGACCGCACUGGAGACAGUGCUUCCCUUCGGGGCUGGUGGACAGGUGGUGCAUGGUUGUCGUCAGCUCGUGUCGUGAGAUGUUGGGUUAAGUCCCGCAACGAGCGCAACCCUCGUUCUAUGUUGCCAGCACGUGAUGGUGGGGACUCAUAGGAGACUGCCGGGGUCAACUCGGAGGAAGGUGGGGAUGACGUCAAAUCAUCAUGCCCCUUAUGUCUUGGGCUUCACGCAUGCUACAAUGGCCGGUACAAAGGGUUGCGAUACUGUGAGGUGGAGCUAAUCCCAAAAAGCCGGUCUCAGUUCGGAUUGAGGUCUGCAACUCGACCUCAUGAAGUCGGAGUCGCUAGUAAUCGCAGAUCAGCAACGCUGCGGUGAAUACGUUCCCGGGCCUUG